UACAUGUUCCAUUAAAAUUUAAUGACAAAAGCAUGCAACAUUAAGUCAUUCCAACCUUAUAUCAGUCACAUUAUUAAUAUAGUUCAUCUAUAUUCAUAGAAUUUUUAGUAUUGGCUUUAAUACCAUUUUGAGAUAUGCAAGGUCUAUGUUGUGCUCUUAAAAGAAAAAUGAAUGUCAUAAAUUAUGACUGAGGAAAACCCAUCAAUACUUCAUUCUAUAGGUAAAAUUCUUCUCAAUCACAUGUCAAAUGAGGGUUUGAUACAUCAACUAAAAGGUGGUAUCUU
rnacentral:lncRNA from 1 species